rnacentral:rRNA from 1 species
CGGCGGACGGGUGAGUAACACGUGGAUAACCUACCUAUAAGACUGGGAUAACUUCGGGAAACCGGAGCUAAUACCGGAUAAUAUAUUGAACCGCAUGGUUCAAUGGUGAAAGACGGUUUUGCUGUCACUUAUAGAUGGAUCCGCGCCGCAUUAGCUAGUUGGUAAGGUAACGGCUUACCAAGGCAACGAUGCGUAGCCGACCUGAGAGGGUGAUCGGCCACACUGGAACUGAGACACGGUCCAGACUCCUACGGGAGGCAGCAGCU